UACGUAGGUGACAAGCGUUGUCCGGAUUUACUGGGCGUAAAGAGCGCGCAGGCGGUCGUUCAAGUCGAGUGUGAAAGCCCCCGGCUCAACUGGGGAGGGUCAUUCGAUACUGAUCGACUCGAAGGCAGGAGAGGGUAGUGGAAUUCCCGGUGUAGUGGUGAAAUGCGUAGAUAUCAGGAGGAACACCUGCGGUGUAGACGGCUUACUGGACCAUAACUGACGCUGAGGCACGAAAGCGUGGGUAGCAAACAGG
rnacentral:rRNA from 1 species